CGCUGGCGGCAGGCCUAACACAUGCAAGUCGAGCGGUAGAGAGAAGCUUGCUUCUCUUGAGAGCGGCGGACGGGUGAGUAAUGCCUAGGAAUCUGCCUGGUAGUGGGGGAUAACGUUCGGAAACGGACGCUAAUACCGCAUACGUCCUACGGGAGAAAGCAGGGGACCUUCGGGCCUUGCGCUAUCAGAUGAGCCUAGGUCGGAUUAGCUAGUUGGUGAGGUAAUGGCUCACCAAGGCGACGAUCCGUAACUGGUCUGAGAGGAUGAUCAGUCACACUGGAACUGAGACACGGUCCAGACUCCUACGGGAGGCAGCAGUGGGGAAUAUUGGACAAGGGGCGAAAGCCUGAUCCAGCCAUGCCGCGUGUGUGAAGAAGGUCUUCGGAUUGUAAAGCACUUUAAGUUGGGAGGAAGGGCAUUAACCUAAUACGUUAGUGUUUUGACGUUACCGACAGAAUAAGCACCGGCUAACUCUGUGCCAGCAGCCGCGGUAAUACAGAGGGUGCAAGCGUUAAUCGGAAUUACUGGGCGUAAAGCGCGCGUAGGUGGUUUGUUAAGUUGGAUGUGAAAUCCCCGGGCUCAACCUGGGAACUGCAUUCAAAACUGACUGACUAGAGUAUGGUAGAGGGUGGUGGAAUUUCCUGUGUAGCGGUGAAAUGCGUAGAUAUAGGAAGGAACACCAGUGGCGAAGGCGACCACCUGGACUAAUACUGACACUGAGGUGCGAAAGCGUGGGGAGCAAAC
rnacentral:rRNA from 1 species